CCUACGUGCGACAGCAGUGGGGGAUAUUGCACAAUGGGGGGAACCCUGAUGCAGCGACGCCGCGUGGGUGAAGAAGCGCCUCGGCGCGUAAAGCCCUGUCAGCAGGGCAGAAAAUGACGGUACCUGAAGAAGAAGCCCCGGCUAACUACGUGCCAGCAGCCGCGGUAAUACGUAGGGGGCCAGCGUUAUCCGGAUUUAUUGGGUUUCAAGGGUGCGUAGUCGGAUUUUUAAGUCAGCGGUAAAAUGUCCGGGCUCAACCCGGGCCGGCCGUUGAAACUGGGGAUCUUGAGUGGGCGAGAAGUAUGCGGAAUGCGUGGUGUAGCGGUGAAAGGCAUAGAUAUCACGCAGAACUCCGAUUGCGAAGGCAGCAUACCGGCGCCCGACUGACGCUGAGGCACGAAAGCGUGGGGAUCGAACAGGAUUAGAUACCCGAGUAGUC
rnacentral:rRNA from 1 species